UUUACCCUGCCAUGUUCGUGAUUCAGAAACAAAGUCCUUGAACCGUAUUAAAAAAAUAAACGGAACCCUCAAGGCAUGCUGGUGGCCGACAGGCCUUGACUGGAAGUCGAAAGCCAGCGCCCCGGUUCCACCUGUUUCUAGGUAGUUCAAAGGAACUGUUACCACACGGCAUUACGGCGGGGUUUUU
rnacentral:other from 1 species